CCUACGGGAGGCUGCAGUGAGGAAUAUUGGUCAAUGGGCGCGAGCCUGAACCAGCCAAGUCGCGUGAAGGAUGACUGUACUGAGUAUUGUAAACUUCUUUUGUCAGGGAAUAAAGACUGGCACGCGUGCCUGUAUGUAUGUACCUUAUGAAAAAGCAUCGGCUAACUCCGUGCCAGCAGCCGCGGUAAUACGGAGGAUCCGAGCGUUAUCCGGAUUUAUUGGGUUUAAAGGGAGCGUAGGGGGGUUGCUAAGUCAGUUGUUAAAGUUGGCGGCUCAACCGUAACAUAGCAAUUGAUACUGGCGUUCUUGAGUACAGUAGAGGUAGGCGGAAUGCGUGGUGUAGCGGUGAAAUGCAUAGAUAUCACGAAGAACUCCGAUUGCGAAGGCAGCUUACCAAACUGCCACUGACAUUGAGGCACGAAAGUGUGGGUAUCAAACAGGAUUAGAUACCCGGGUAGUC
rnacentral:rRNA from 1 species